rnacentral:rRNA from 1 species
UAGAGUUUGAUCCUGGCUCAGAUUGAACGCUGGCGGCAGGCCUAACACAUGCAAGUCGAACGGUAGCACAGAGAGCUUGCUCUCGGGUGACGAGUGGCGGACGGGUGAGUAAUGUCUGGGAAACUGCCUGAUGGAGGGGGAUAACUACUGGAAACGGUAGCUAAUACCGCAUAAUGUCGCAAGACCAAAGAGGGGGACCUUCGGGCCUCUUGCCAUCGGAUGUGCCCAGAUGGGAUUAGCUUGUUGGUGAGGUAACGGCUCACCGAGGCGACGAUCCCUAGCUGGUCUGAGAGGAUGACCAGCCACACUGGAACUGAGACACGGUCCAGACUCCUACGGGAGGCAGCAGUGGGGAAUAUUGCACAAUGGGCGCAAGCCUGAUGCAGCCAUGCCGCGUGUAUGAAGAAGGCCUUCGGGUUGUAAAGUACUUUCAGCGAGGAGGAAGGCGGUAAGGUUAAUAACCUUAUCGAUUGACGUUACUCGCAGAAGAAGCACCGGCUAACUCCGUGCCAGCAGCCGCGGUAGUACGGAGGGUGCAAGCGUUAAUCGGAAUUACUGGGCGUAAAGCGCACGCAGGCGGUCUGUCAAGUCGGAUGUGAAAUCCCCGGGCUCAACCUGGGAACUGCAUUCGAAACUGGCAGGCUAGAGUCUUGUAGAGGGGGGUAGAAUUCCAGGUGUAGCGGUGAAAUGCGUAGAGAUCUGGAGGAAUACCGGGUGGCGAAGCGGCCUCCUGGACAAAGACUGACGCUCAGUGCGAAAGCGUGGGGAGCAAACAGGAUUAGAUACCCUGGUAGUCCACGCCGUAAACGAUGUCGACUUUGGAGGUGUGCCCUUGAGGCGUGCCACUGAGCUUACGCGUAGGUCGACGCUUGGGCAGUACCGGACGCAGGUAAACCUCAAUGAAAUUGACGGGGUCC